rnacentral:lncRNA from 1 species
GGGAAAGAGGAGAGGCACCUGAUAGAUGUCCUCCAGGCCUUUCAGAAAAUAUUGAGUUGCUCUUAUAAGAAAGGUAAUAUUGUAGACAUCAAGGGAAUGGGUACUGUCCAAAAAGGAAGGCCCCACAAGUGUUACCAUGGCAAAACUGGAAGAGUCUACAAUACUACCCAGCAUGCUGUUGGCAUUUUUGUAAAUAAACAAGGUAGGGGCAAGAUUCUUGCCAAGAGAAUUGAUGUGUAGAUUGUGCACGUUAAGCACUCUGAGAGUCAAGAUAGCUUCCUGAAAUGUGUGAAGGAAAAUGAUCAGAAAAACAAGGAAGCCAAAGAGAAAGGUACCUGGGUUUGACUGAAGCGCCAGCCUGCUCCAUUAGAGAACACUGUGUAAGAACCAAUGGGAAGGAGCCUGAGCUGCUGGAACCUCUUCCCUCUGGAGUCAUUGCAUAA